CGGAAUGUAGCUCAGUUGGUAGAGUGCACCGUUUGGGACGGUGAGGUUCGCAGGUUCGAGACCUGUCAUUCCGA
rnacentral:tRNA from 1 species